rnacentral:rRNA from 1 species
CCUACGGGGGGCAGCAGUCGAGAAUCAUUCACAAUGGGGGAAACCCUGAUGGUGCGACGCCGCGUGGGGGAAUGAAGGUCUUCGGAUUGUAAACCCCUGUCAUGUGGGAGCAAAUUAAAAAGAUAGUACCACAAGAGGAAGAGACGGCUAACUCUGUGCCGGCAGCCGCGGUAAUACAGAGGUCUCAAGCGUUGUUCGGAAUCACUGGGCGUAACGCGGGCGUAGGCUGUUUCGUAAGUCGUGUGUGAAAGGCGCGGGCUCAAGCCGCGGACGGCACAUGAUACUGCGAGACUAGAGUAAUGGAGGGGGAACCGGAAUUCUCGGUGUAGCAGUGAAAUGCGUAGAUAUCGAGAGGAACACUCGUGGCGAAGGCGGGUUCCUGGACAUUAACUGACGCUGAGGCACGAAGGCCAGGGGAGCGAAAGGGAUUAGAUACCCGGGUAGUC